rnacentral:tRNA from 1 species
GCCAGAUUGCCCGAGUGGCCAAAGGGAGCGGACUGUAAAUCCGUCGGCAUUGCCUACAGAAGUUCGAAUCUUCUAUCUGGCACAA